rnacentral:lncRNA from 1 species
GGAAACGAGCCGAGCUCGAGCGAGCUUAUCUCGGCUCAAAUUCGGCUUGAAAUUAAUUUCGAGCCUAAAUUUAAGCUCAAGUUUGGGUUGAAAUUAAUUCGAGCCGAGCUCGAGCGAGCAUAAUUUCGAGUCGAGCGAGCUCGAGCCCUAAACGAGCCGCUUGAAAUUCUCAACAUCAUACGAUCAAUAGUUUAAUUUGUAUAGAACAUUAUCUAUAAUUUGAUACAAAAAUAUGUCUAAUAGUUCAAAAUAUAAAAUAAUUAUAUAAAAUAUAAUAUUAUAAUAUGAAGAAAAAAAAAUUUAUGAGUUGAAUAUCUAAUUUUUUCAGCCUCUUAUGUAUUUUCUUCUGCCUUCAAUCUCCAUAUUAUUUAAUAAAUAAAUUAUAUAGAUAAAUAUUGGAUUAAACUAUCCAAUCAUAUAUAACUAAAAUUAAAAUUUUAUAUGAAUAAUAAUUUUUUACUUUAAAAAUAUUAUGUAUAUUUUCUCAAGUAUACAAUUAAUAGCAAGGUAGGCAACGGCAGGCAUAUGCUGCUACUUGGUAACUUGUAGGGCUUCCGGCUUGGCCAAAUAGGGUGAGAGACAAAAAAAGAGAGAGAGAAACACAUUGAAAAUUUAAAGUUCUGUGAAAGAAAGAAAUAAAGGAAAAAUGCAUAAAUUUAGUAAAAUUUUGCUCUUUUAUUUGUCUAUUGGGUUUGUUUUUAUGGGCCAACAAUAUUGGCUCAAUUUUAA